AGUAGGGCAGUCAGGCCCUGGCAGAGCUGAGGGAAGCAGCUCCCUACUAUAAGCUGAUGCAGUUAAACUACAAACUGUGAAUAGACCUAAGAGGGCUGGAAUUAGGAUAAACACCAGUGGAGAAUGAAUAGAAGCCUGGGGAGGGCCUGGGGAAAAGACACCCCAGUGGGAAUCAUUUGUUUGGCAAGGAGGAGAGGACUACCCACCAAGGGGCAGCAGACAACAGCAGACUAACCCAGGGCCUGCUACAACAAUAAAUGAGUGAUACACAACUGGUAACAUGCUAAACCAGACAGGUUUUUCAUCAGAAGACCCACAAUUACAAAGCAACGUUCUUCUAUGCUGUAGUCAUCCCUGGCAUGAAAGCCAUAGCAAAACUUUUCAUUUAAUGUCAUUUUGUCAAAAGUGCUUUCUUCAUCAGGAAAAAAAAAGCCUCUCUUUAUGUUUCCUCAAAGAGCACCUAAUCCAAUUUCUCUG